rnacentral:lncRNA from 1 species
UAGUGCAAGCAUGGAAACAUGAGGAUGGACGUUUUUGAAGAUUUGAAGGCUAAAAAUCAGCAUGUGUGUGUGCAAGUGUGUUGACCUAUAACUCCAAACAUCCAUCCACUACACCCAUUACAUCCACUCAUUACCAAACACUCAUCCACUACACCCAUUACAUCCACUCAUUACCAAACACUCACCCACUACACCCAUUACAUCCAUGAUAGGAGCAUAUUUAUGCACCUUAGUUAGCUAGUUCUUAUACAUUUUUGUUAUGUUUUCUUAGUUUAAGUAGUCUUUUAAGCUAUUUUCAUGUGUUUUCAGGUUUUAAGGGCAUAUUACAUAAAAUGAGGCAAUUUGGAGCUUUUUGGAGCAAAAGUGAGCGUGGAUUGAAUAGUACAUGCUUGGAACACAAGGUUUGGAUGAAAUUGAAGAUUUGAAGAUUUGAGGAUUCCUAGUCCAAGAAGGAUUCCUAGUCCAAGGAGGAGUCCUAAUUGAAGAAGGAUUCCUAAUCAACGAGGGAUUCCUAGUUGAAGAUUGAUUCCUAGAAGAAUGAAGAUUCCUUUGCUGCACACCACCACCUCUCAUAAUUCACAAUUCACGCCAGAAAUCUGCCUUGCUCUCUGCCGCAACCCUCACUCACCAUUCUCCCAAAUUUCUGCCAAAAAUCAACCCUUGCCGCACCACCCAUCCAUCCUAAACACCACCAUACAUCCCCCAUCCAUUCUACACCAUCUAAUAACCCAAAGAACCUAUCCAAAGUCUCUGUGCCGCAGCAAGGAGGAAGGAGGAAUCGUGGAUGCACCUGCUGCGAAGUUGGAGCAUUUUAGGUGUUCUCUUUCUUUGGAUUUUAAUGUCUAAAUUUAUGUAUCUUUGCUUUGUGAGUAUGAGGAACUAAACCCCCCUUGGCUAGGGGGGGAUUCGAAACCAUGUUUAUGCUUGCUAUAUGAUUUGAUUACUUCUAAUUGCGUUUCAUAAGUUGUGGAUUCAAUUUGCUUAUCUAUUCAAAUUAAACUGAUUUGUGUGUGUUGAUUGAGAGUGCACGCUUAAUUUUCAUGCAUAAAUCUAAUGCUAGGAUAUAAGGAAUUUUCACCUAAUCGUUAUGAACUUAUAUUCACAAGUAGUAAAGGUUGUUGAUCACAAUCGUGUUAAGUAAAUUCUUGGCAUAAGUUUCAUGCGCUUUCAUAGCUACGAGUUCCUUAUCAAUACUUAUGAUUUCCAUUCAACGUAAUGAUCUUUGAUUGUAUCUUUAUUAUGCGCUUUCAUAUAGAGAACUUUUGAGGAAUAAUUUGAUUGCGAUGCGCUUUUUCCGUCCAAUUCAUUGACAUAAGGGAAAUCUGAAAGUUAAUUUAAGCAGACCUAAUUAACUUGGAGUGUUAAGUAUUCAUGGUUUAUUGAAUUGCGAUUAGAAAUCGUUUUGUAUGCAAGUGUGACAUGUGUGGAGAAGAACCCCUUAGCUAGCUUUCCAUCCAUUCACUUUUAUCAAAUUGCGUUUUUAAAAUCUGUUUAAGUUACAAAGUUUCUGUUUUGUUUUCAACUUCGUCUAAAAUCAAUCCCCCUUUAUUUUGUUGAGUCAUCUUAGUUAGAAAUCAAUUUAGUUUGUGUUUUUAAGUGUCUUGAGUCAAGUUAUACCCUAUUUUCGUCCAAAUUUGUGUUUGUGUUCAAACUGCCCAGAAAGUGUUUUUAAGGCAGUUUUGAGUGUUUAUUUGUUGUUUUUGAGUCUUUUGCUUUGUUUUGGUGUUUUAUAGUUUAGUUUUGCAUUCUUUGAGUCUAGUUUAGUGUUUUAAACUUUGUUUUUACGUUUGGAGUCAGUUUUCAAGUGAUUUAGCAAUCCCUCCUAAUCCCCGGCCUAGAACGAUCCCUACUUACAUGCUUUGCUACAAUUGAUAAAAAGAGGGUUUAAUUUGUGUGCUUGUAUAUUUCGCAUCAAUCCACUCAUUACCAAACACUCAUCCACUACACCCAUUACAUCCACUCAUUACCAAACAUCCACCCACUACAACCAUUACAUCCACUCAUUACCAAACAUACAUCCACUCAUUACCAAACAUUCAUCCACCACACCCAUUACAUCCACUCAUUACCACAACACUCAUCACUACCACCUUAAUUAGAUGGUGGUCCUCUCCCUAGCCUAUAAAUACAUCCACCCUUCACCAUAACAAAGGGGAGAAGACAAUCCACCCAUCCACCCUUCACCAUAACUCACCUAUAUCCAUCCACCACCAUAAUUUACAACUCAUUCAUCAAACCACACUUUGUGCCGCAACAAAGAGAAGAAGGAGGACCCUUGGACGUGCUUGCCAUUCAAGUUGGAUUGUUGGAGCGUUUUUAGGUGUUUUCAUUCUUUUGUUUUCAAUGUCCAAAUUUGUUUAUCUUUGCUUUGUGAGUAUGAGGAACUAAACCCCCCUUAGCUAAGGGGGAAUUCGAAACCAUGUUCAUGCUUGCAAUAUGAUUUGAUUACCUUCAAUUGUGAUUUCAUAAGUUGUGAAUUCAAUUUGUUUAACUGCUUGAUUGAUAACUUAUUCGUGUAUGUUUAUUAAGAGUGCACACUUAGUUUGCAUGCAUGAAUAUUAUGCUAGAGUACAAGGGAGUUUCACCUAAUAGUUACAAACUUAUAUUCACAAGUAAUGGAGGUCGCUUAUAAACGAUCGCGUUAAAUAAAUUCUUGGCAGGAGUUUCAUGCUCAUCAUAGUAACGAAUGCCUCGUCAAUACUUAUAGUUUUCAUAAUGCUUAAUGAUCUUUGAUUGUAUCUUUAUUGUGCUGUUCACGUAAAGAACUUUUGAAGAAUGCUUGAAUUGUUGUAUGCACUUUCCCAUCCAAUUCAAUAACUUUGGAGAACUUGAAGGUUAAUUUAAGCAGACUUAAUUAACCUGGGGUGUUGAGUUUCAUGAUUGAUCGAAAGAACAACUGAAAAUUGUUUUAUGUGCAAGUAUGUCAUGUGUGGAGAAGAACCUCCUAGCUGGCCUUCCAUCCAUUCAAUUUAAUCAAAUUCGUGCAGAUUUUAUUAGUUCUUUAAUUUACUUGUUUUGUUUUCAAAUUCGUCAAAACCAAAACCCCCUUUACUUUAAAGUGUUUUAUUAGUCAAAAUCUAUUUUGAUUUGUGUUUUUAGGUGUCCCAAAAGUGUGUUAGAGUCCAAAUCUGUCCGGUUUGUGUUUUUAGGCAGAUUUGAGCGUUUUUAGCUUGUUUUAAGUCAUUUGAGUUUGUUUUAAGUUCUUUGAGUCUAGUUUAGUGUUUUUAACUUUGCUUAUAUGCUUUUAAGUCAGUUUAGAGAUUUUAGCAAGCCUUCCUAAUCCCUGGUUUAGAACGAUCCCUACUUGCAUUUAUACUACAAUUUGAUAACAAGAGGGUUUGAUUUGUGUGUUAAGUUAAUUUUCGCAUCACCCAACUUCCUCAAUGUGGCCUAUGUCAAAGAAGUACCAAAAUUCGUUGACGGUUAGAUCGAAGUCAAAGAAUUGGAUUAGAUUGACAAAUCCCACCAUCACGUGGCUCGAAUUUGGAGAACAUUGAGCGAGGGCACAUCUCAUGGAGCUGAGCACUUCUUGGAAGAAACAUAACAUAGGGAAAGUAAACCCCAAAACAAAGUAAGAGGGGUGAAACUUGAUGGCUCUUCAAGCCCCACUACACAGCUCACAGCUAUUACCAUCCUUGACAAGCUUCACACGCACUCCCGACGGAAUAGCAUGCCUAUAUGCCUCAAGGAAGUCUCUAAACAAGUCAUCAGAGCUAAUUUUGAAGUAAGUAGCCUUGAA